GACCAGCCUUGCUCUUACAAAUGCUGGGAUUACAGGCAUGAGCCACUACACGUGGCCUUUGAGCACAUGGACAUGAGAUGGUCCCAUUAUCUAGUC
rnacentral:miRNA from 14 species